rnacentral:rRNA from 1 species
CCAGACUCCUACGGGAGGCAGCAGUGGGGGAUUUUGCACAAUGGGCGCAAGCCUGAUGCAGCGACGCCGCGUGAGGGAUGGAGGCCUUCGGGUUGUGAACCUCUGUCGCCGGUGAUGUAGGCUCUGCUUUGUGGGUGGGGUUGACGGUAGCCGGGGUAUGAAGUGCCGGCUAACUACGUGCCAGCAGCCGCGGUAAUACGUAGGGCGCGAGCGUUGUCCGGAAUUAUUGGGCGUAAAGAGCUCGUAGGCGGCUGGUCGCGUCUGUCGUGAAAUCCUCUGGCUUAACUGGGGGCGUGCGGUGGGUACGGGCCGGCUUGAGUGCGGUAGGGGAGGCUGGAAUUCCUGGUGUAGCGGUGGAAUGCGCAGAUAUCAGGAGGAACACCGGUGGCGAAGGCGGGUCUCUGGGCCGUGUACUGACGCUGAGGAGCGAAAGCGUGGGGAGCGAACAGGAUUAGAUACCCUGGUAGUCCAUGCUGUAAACGUUGGGCACUAGGUGUGGGGGGUCUUUCCGGGUCUUCCGCGCCGUAGCUAACGCAUUAAGUGCCCCGCCUGGGGAGUACGGCCGCAAGGCUAAAACUCAAAGGAAUUGACGGGGGCCCGCACAAG